rnacentral:rRNA from 1 species
CGGAGCUAACGCGUUAAGUCGACCGCCUGGGGAGUACGGCCGCAAGGUUAAAACUCAAAUGAAUUGACGGGGGCCCGCACAAGCGGUGGAGCAUGUGGUUUAAUUCGAUGCAACGCGAAGAACCUUACCUACUCUUGACAUCCAGCGAACUUGGCAGAGAUGCCUUGGUGCCUUCGGGAACGCUGAGACAGGUGCUGCAUGGCUGUCGUCAGCUCGUGUUGUGAAAUGUUGGGUUAAGUCCCGCAACGAGCGCAACCCUUAUCCUUUGUUGCCAGCGAUUCGGUCGGGAACUCAAAGGAGACUGCCGGUGAUAAACCGGAGGAAGGUGGGGAUGACGUCAAGUCAUCAUGGCCCUUACGAGUAGGGCUACACACGUGCUACAAUGGCGCAUACAAAGAGAAGCGACCUCGCGAGAGCAAGCGGACCUCAUAAAGUGCGUCGUAGUCCGGAUCGGAGUCUGCAACUCGACUCCGUGAAGUCGGAAUCGCUAGUAAUCGUGGAUCAGAAUGCCACGGUGAAUACGUUCCCGGGCCUUGUACACACCGCCCGUCACACCAUGGGAGUGGGUUGCAAAAGAAGUAGGUAGCUUA